AAAAUCAUUAAGAUGGUCUUAAAACAUUAUACUAAAGUACUUUCCCAUCUUUUCAGAUUUGAGAAGCUUUUACCUUUCUGCCUAAGUUGAUUCUUCUUAUUCGCUCUGCCAUACAUUGGAACCUUUUCCAAUGUCUCAUAAUUACACUUAAACUUGUAAGUGUAACCAAAUUUACUAAACUUUAGUAAAUCAUGAUGAAUAGUCUUAUCGAUCUUUUGUGGUGGACUUGAUCAGUGCACAAGAAUGUGUACUCGAUCCCUUAGUAAUUUACUUGACUCACACAUCCAUGUGAACAAGUAGUUUGUCUUAAUUUUUCCAAUGCUUGAAAGUUCUCAUUCAUCAUGCAAUACAACUUGCAUGAUUCCAAGUUUCUAUCCAACUGAAUCUUGGGUGAUGAGACUCUUUCCUUAUUUGGUAAAUUUAGACACUACCACAAAUGAAAGAAUCAAAUUCAUAUUUCCACUCUUGCUCUUAAUGGAAUCUUAUAAGAAACAAAAAUUUUCACAAAUGCCAUUGUAAGGAUAUUUUAAAAUAAAUAAAAUUUUUGCGGAAAAACAAUCCUUACAGUGCAAAAGCACAUGAAAACUUUAUUGUUAUCUAUUCCUAAGCAAUAUAUCAUAACUCCUAAGAAGUAGCUCAAGAAUCCGAUCUUCAAACUAUGCAAUAGAAAUCCAUCUACGCGAUCAGAUUCAACGUAUUCUUUAUUUAAGUUUCUUCACUUUUCUUUGAUUCUUAAAACAUCAACAUGUGACCUAGUCACACCAUUUAUCAAGAAUCUCAUAAUAGAAACUUUGCAUAGUUAGAUACUGGACUUUACCUAAAUUAGAGUCAAACUUAUUGACUUUAACAUCCUUAGGUAAAAUUGGCAGCUUCGCAACUAAUGCCCCUUCCUUUGGCAAUAUAAACAUAUGGACCCUUUGGUAAUGGUAUGCAGGACUAUCACAGACUUAGAUUUUCUCUUUACCAUUUGGUCAACCGAGUUGACUAUGGCCUAUCCCUUUCUAUUGGGAAGAGAAUGCUUUUUCUGGAUUUCCAGUGUCUUCAUUGUCAAUGUCCACAAAGUUUUAGGAAGUUGAUCUUAGCAAAUAGAUAAGAUCAUUAAGGGUCUUGUCAUAGUCUAUUUCAUAGGUGUCCCAAAGGAACUCACUAUGUGACUUAGAAAGUGAUUGAUCAUCAACUUCCUCUAGACUACAUCUCCAAGAUGUGAUCAUACAUAGACCUUUGCUUGUCAAUUGGGCUUGAGUGACCUUAAACUUUUCAAGAACUUGUAGGUUAGUGAGAAUAAUUGGAGGAGGUGAAGGAAGUAUGAUUUCCAUGGGACAUCAUCUUCAUUUAGGAAAGCUUGUUUCAAGACAUUUGGGAAGAUCAUAAAUGUCUAAACCAGACAUCUUUUGGGAGAUAUUCAAUAUAGUUGAUUUAAAGUCCUUAAUAUAACACCCAAUAUGAAAUAUUAAGGCUAGGACCCAACACUAUACUUUUAUAACUUGGAAGAGGGAUGCCGUAAUCAAAGUUACAAAAUAUUUAAAGGUAGGUGAAUGACGAUUCACCAAUUUCCACCAAGAUAAACGAAAUGUAUUAUUAGGUUUUAAUUGGUUUUCAAACUCCUAGAUUCUUUUGAGUUCCAUUGAACUUUUCAAUGGCAUGUUUCAAUCUCGAGUGUGCCCUUCAGGUUUUGUGACUUGGAUGCCGAGGAUCACAAAAAAGGUGUGAAGUAACCAUGCAAAUUACUUGGUACUCUUAAGUGUUUACCGCUCAAUCGAUGUGCCGGUCAAUCACACACGCUCCAUCGAUACUAUGAUAAACAUUAAGUUACCCUUUGCCUACCUUGUUAAAUCCAAGUUAGUGUGCCGGUUAACCACACACGCUCCACUAACCGACUUAAACAAUGUGCAAAGUGUAAUUUCAUGGAUUAGCACAUUAUUCACAUUUUCCUAAGUAACUAAGAUUGGGUAUUUAUAAAAGGUUUAAUUACUUAGUAUUUAUCAUUAAUACUUUUAAUGAAGGUAGAAUUAUAUUCAUUGUCCUACCCGUUCGGCUAAUGACCCUCCACCAGUCAAGGAAGCGGUGGGUGAGAGUGGACACUGAUUAAACUGCCAUUUUAUAGGCAGUAACCUUAUACCCCCCUUACAGACCAGCUUCGUGAAUGAGACCUACUAAUGGUAAGACUGACUUUACUCUUAUACAUAUAUAUAAAUAUUAUUAACUUAUAAUAUUAUAAAGUAUAAGGGUUGAAUUUUAACUUUUAAAAUUCUAAGGGAUAACUUGGAAUUAAUGUAUUCAUAAGUGAAACUUUUNAACUUGAGGGCAAGUUUUGAAACUAUUCAAAACUAAUUAAUUCCAUAACUUAUGUGUUUAAAGUAGUUUUAAUUAAAAGACUCUUCAAGUUCCAUAACUUGAGGACAAGUUAUGGAAGACUUUAAACUAAUAAAAGAAUGUAACUUUUCUUUAUUUUGUAACUUAUGGAAUUAUUUAAGGUUACACAUUUUAUUACUUAAUGAAGUGACUCUUGAACCUCCAUAACUUGAGGACAAGACUCUUCAAUUUUUGUAACCAUUGCCAACUUUUAUGAGUUUUAUGAAACUUAAAUGUGACUUUUCAUAUAAAUUGAGGACAAGUUACAAAAACACAUUUUAGAAUCAACUCUUAGAUUAAAAUGGAUUGUAAACACAUAAUCAAUUAACUUUUCUAUUAAUAUAAGCAACUCAUAUGAACAAAUAUAAUUCACAUCAAACUUUUUCAUGUAAUUAGCAUAAAUUUUAAAUGAAUACAAAACAUGAAUCUAUUGACUAUUAUCUUUGAAAUUGGAUUAGCAUGAACAUUACCACAUCAAAAACAAGUUUAUAAGGUCAAAAACGACUUAGGGUAAUGUUCCUAGUCCAAUUCCAGCCAAGAAACACGAAGAUAUGCUGUCUGGAGGCCAAAAUCGUCGAGUUCUUCAUCGAACUUGUCGAGUUCAUGCUCUAAUACAUGAACUCAUCUAGUUUUGUACCAAAACUCAUCGAGUUUUAGGUCCCGACAGACUCUUGGCUUCAAAAAAUCUAUUUGCAUCAAGUAUAAGAGAAAGCAAGCCUAGGCUCUGAUACCACUGUUGGGUUUUGAGCAUUCUAACACUCCUAAGUGUACAUGCAACCCUAAAUACCUUGGAUAUAUGUUUUCUCUAUUAUACAUGCAAAUAUGAACUUUCCAAGAUAUUCAUCCUAACUAGCAUAAUAACAUUGAUUCAUAUGAAUAUAUCAAGUUAGAAUUACAUACCUCUUUGAUAUAGAAUAUCUUCAUGAAGCCUGAGUGCCUAGUGAUCCAAGUGUGACACCUCAAAUGGUUCACACAACACCAAAUACACUUGGAAUAACUUGAGAGAAUAUACACACUUCAUGAGAAUCGGCUAGCCCUUUCACACAUAAUCUAGUGCUGAUUUUGUCAACAAUAAGAUGCUUACAUAGUUAGUGACAAUUAGGGUAAACCCUAAUGGUCAUGGCUUUCCAUUUCCUUGGAUCCAUGGGUACAAAUACACCAUGGAGCAUCCAUGGAGCUAUUGGGUUUUGAACAUUCUAACACUCCUAAGUGUACAUGCAACCCUAAAUACCUUGGAUCUAUGUUUUCUCUAUUAUACAUGCAAAUAAGAACUUCCAAGGUAUUAUCCUAAUCUAGCAUACAAAACAAUGAGUGUAACAAGAUAGAAUACAUACCUCUUUGAUGUAGAAAGUCUUCAUGAAGCUUGAGUGCCUAGUGCCCCAAGUGUGACACCUCAAAUGGUUCACACAACACCAAAUACACUUGGAAUAGAUUGAGAGAACAUACACACUUCAUGAAAUCGGCUAGCCCUUCUCUAGAAUGAUACUAGUGCGAAUUUUGGUCAAGAAUAAGAUGCAUAUAUAGUUAGGGUUACACCAUGUAAACCCUAAUUGACAUGGCCUUUCAUUUCCAUGAUCCAUGGGUACAAAUACACCAUGGAGCAUCCAUGGACCAUCCUAUGGGUUUUAGCCCAACUUGAUUAUCCAUGGAGCAUUAGCCCACUAUACAAGUAUGGAUGAUUUACACAAUCAACCCAUAUAUUUAAUUAGUCUUCUUUUGAUCACUUAAUUAAUCCUAGAUUAAUUCUUGAUCAAUACUAAUUAAAUAAUCUUAUUAUUCUUAUUAUUAAUAUACUAGAACUUAUAAUAUAUUAAUAACCAUAAGUGUCUUAUUUCUCUCAUUAUAGUCUAUCCAAGUGCAUGAUGCCAUGCAACCCAAAUGGACCAUGCCGGGUCGGGUCAAGUCUUACCAAUUAUAGUUAUGGACUUAGACAUUAAUCCAACAGUCUCCCACUUGGAUAAGUCUAAAACUAUUAUUGCGUAUGACUUCAGGAACCAACUGGCAAUCGUAGCUCUCAAAAGCUUCUGUCGAACUCUGACCUUGUAGAUGAACUCUGACCUUUGUCAAUGACUUGUCCAUUAGAUAAGGGAUCAUAUAUUCCUCCAUUCUAGAUAUCAUAUGGACUGAGACAUGGAUUAUAAUCAUUCUCUCUGUCCAUUUGUUGUUUCCCGAUUUCCGAUUUAUGACGACUGACUAAUUGAACAAAUCAAAUCAGUCCUGGCCCGGCCGAGCACUUCCAUUUGUCAUCAUCAAAUCAUCGAGGGGCCCACAGAUAUCGCUUUUAUCCCGAAGGUAAAAGGAAUGGAUAAACUUCGACUCAUAUGGCUUGUUCUACUACUUGUUGAAUCAUACACAAAGGCACGUUUUAUAGCACCGAGUUACCAAAUGCGUUUUCGUGCAAUCAAUGUACUAUCAACUCAUAGUAACAACUCAUAUCUCUAGGUUUGAAGAAUAUAAGAUAUUAUCGUCUCAUGAUCACUCGUGAUAAAAUCCAUGAAGUGAUUCCAAUGAGCGCGGGUUGAAUCCAAUACUCAGAACUUAUGAGCACUCAUGAGUGUUGUAGCCCUUUGUCCAACACCUUAGACCUCUACAAGCCAACCCAUGACAGUCUUAAUUCAUAUCUACUUCCAACAUAUGACCGACUGUGGAUGGUUUGAAUAACUUAGUCAUUCCGGAAGAAUAACCUAGUUUAUUCGGGAAGUCAAAACAUGCAAAGUGAAACACAAUAAUAAUUGAAUCCAAUAUGGUAUCAAAACUUUGAACAUAAAUAAAACACCUUUUAUUUAUCACCAUAUGAUUACACAUUAUUCAUUGUAUACUGUUUCAGCUAUCAACUUUAUUCUUGAAUUUAAAACAAUAGUUGUCCCAUGCUCCAAGCAUGUACACUAUGUUUUCUUAAACACUAGUCAUGCCACACACCAAGUAUGCAUACUAUGUUUGUCUAUGAUCUUUACUUUGUGAACUAGAUCAAUUGAACAUAACUUCAAUGAUUCUCUUUUCACACUCCCAAAUCCUUACUGCAAAUGCAAGAAUUCCAAAUUCAUGCCAUUUACUGAAAUCUGUUAGAUUCUAAACUUAUAUGCAUUGAUCCUCUUGUAAUGAUUAUGCACAAAGUCAGAAAGACUUGACAACAAUCAUUACAGAGUAUUCCAAAGGAGAUCAGCUCCUUGGAAACAUCCUUCUUGCAUUAAGUUUCCUAAUCUUAAACAGAUUGAAAAUUCUAACUUUGAAACAUUUCCAGAUUCCAUUUUGACUAUCACUUCUGAACAAGAGUUGCCUCCUUACAGAUUAUGUCAAUAUGGUCCUUCCAGAAUUAUCACUAUACUUCCAACUGUCCUUGAGCAACCAAUCUUUGGUAAACCUUAGAUUGUCCUCGACAAUUGUUUAAUCCUUUUAGUCAUAUCCAGUUCUAAACCUUUUCCCUUCUUAAUGCCCCAGGCAUUUGGAAAAUUUUAGAACGGAUGAAUAUAGCACAUGUAAUCGAUCCUAUAUCCGAAGCAUAUGGGACACGAUUCAUGAUGUCUUACAUAAAGACUAAACCAGUCUUUUGCUAUAAUAUUUCCAUUUCAAUUUGCCAAGUUCUCAUAAUUCAGAUUAUGAAAAGGGAUGCCGUAAUCAUAAUCGAAUUUUAGAACGCAAAUAAUGGACCCAUAUACAGAAUUUCCUUAUGUUGAGCCAUUCCAACAUGAAAUUCAUAUAUAUCCUUGACUAAAUGAUUAAAACCUCACGAUCUAAGCUUAUAGAUUUGAGAUGAAGUAUAAUUUCCUCUCCCUUAAUUAUAGCAAAACAACUUUUUCCCAAUUGAAACUUUUGUUUUCUAUAAUUAACAUUGCUAACUUGCAAUACUUAUCAUAAUUAUCAUGCUCCCACUAACAUGAUGAUUAUUAGCAUAACACUUAUGCUCCCACUAGCUUUGACAUGUACUCAGAAAUCAGCUGGACUUCUAGAAAUCAAUACUUCAUUGACUUUCUUACCAAAGUUCAGAUUUCUGAUGCUAGAUUGUUUUGAUAAAGCUUUAUCAAAAUCAUACACCUUCCCUUAGAUAGCACACUUGUGUAUCUAAACAAUUAUGAAGAGGGAUGCCGUAAUCAUAAUGUUUAGACCUUUUUGCCACUUCUCACAAGUCCAAAUUAGUGUGCCGGUUAACCACACGCGCUCCACUAACGACUUUGAGAAUGCAAAUAUCACAAUUGCUAUCUAGCUAAAAUCUACUUAGUGAAAGUGUUUCCUCACCAUCAUUUUCAUGAAUCGGAGAGAAACCUUAUGACACUUAGAUUUAAUGGUGUAUGUGUUCUUAUCCAUGUGAAUUGUCAAAACCAUAGUCACAAGACAAGGAUAAUGACAAAUCCAAACUCAUAUGGACUGAACUCAAUCUUAAUUUCUUGCCACCUGGCAGCUCAAGGGCCUGCCAUUGCUUCCAAGUUGUUGUGCAACAAAUUGAGAACUCUAAGAACUCAUAUGCAAAGCCAACUUUAACUGGAAUGGGCACAGAAUAUGUCAACACGAUAGGUUAUGAACCUCAAGUCGUGUGCUAGUGAAGAACUUCAGGUUUUAUUCUUGAUUAGUUCUUGAGACUUUCAAGACCUUUAAGACUCCCACUGUCCUCUUGACAUAUAAGACUCCCUUGUCAAACAUCCAAGAGAUAGUGCGGAUUCUAAUCAAGAAAAACACUUUACCCAAUUGGCCUAAGUUGGUCUUUGUUUUAUCCAAAACAUCACAACUUACCAAUUUCAAAUGUACAAGAGUAGAAAACUUUUACUCUUACAUUUGACAAGUGUUUUAAACCUUCUUUAAGACAUGUCACUCAAGUUACAAUCUUGGAAUUUGAAUCUAAGACUUGUAUUGGAACGAAGUAUGACUCAUCUUCUUGAUUUAACCACUUCAGCAAUUCAAGUUCCUCUUCUUAGUCAUAAGAAUGCACUAAGAUUUUCCUUAGAGACCUAAUUUUCAUAUGGUUUCUUAACCAUUAUGAUGAUCACAAAACUGAUACUAAAGUACUCUCCCAUCUUUUCAGAUAUGAGAAACUUUUAUCCUUCUUCCUAAUUUGAUUCUUCUUAUUCGCUCUGCCAUACAUUGGAACCUUUUCCAUUGUCUCAAAGUUACACUUAAGCUAAAAAGUAUAAUCAUAUUUACUGAGCUUUAGUAAACUAUGACGAAUAGUCUUAUCAAUCUUUUGUGGUGGACUUACUCAGUGCACAAGAAUGUGUACUCAAUCCCUUAGUCCUUUACUUGACUCACACAUCCACGUGACCAAGUAAUUAGUCUUAAUUUUUCCAAUACUUGAAAGUUAUCAUUCAUCAUGCUAUACAACUUGCAUGAUUCCAAGUUCCGGUCCAAUUGAAACUUGGGUGAUGAGAAUCUUUCCUUAUUUGGUAAAUUUAGACAUUACCACAAAUGAAAGAAUCAAUUUCAUAUUUCCACUCUUGCUAUUAACGGAAUCAUAUAAGCAAUAAUUUUUCCUCAAAUGCCAUUGUAAGGAUAUUUUAAAAUAAUUCAAAUCAAAAUUUUCCUUUUAUUUUUAAACUUUGCGGAAAACUUAUCCAUACAAUCCAUAUGAAAACUUGUUGUUAUCUAUUCCUAAGCAAUAUCUCAUAACUCCUAAGAAGUAGCUCAAGAAUCCGAUCUUCAAACUAUGCGAUAGAAAUCCAUCUACGCGAUCAGAUUCAGCAUAUUCUUUCUUUAAGUUUCUUCACUUUUCUUUGAUUCUUAAAACAUCACCAUGUGACCCAGUCACAUCAUGUAUCAAGAAUCUCAUAAUAGAAACUUAACAGAGUUAGAUAGUGGACUUUACCUGAAGUAGAGUCAAACUUAUUGACUUUAACAUCCUUAGGUAAAUUUGGCAGCUUCGCAACCAAUGCCCCUUUCUUUGGCAAUAUAAACAUAUGGACCCUUUGAUAAUGGUACACGGGACUAUCACAGACUUAGCUUUUCUCUUUACCAUUUGGUCAACCGAGUUGACUAUGGCCGAUCCCUUUCCAUUGGGAAGAGAAUGCUUUUCUGGAUUUCCUGUGUCACUAUUGUCAAUGUCCAUCAAGUUUUAAGGAAGUUGAUCUUAACAAAUAGAUAAGAUCAUUAAGGGUCUUGUCAUAGUCUGUUUCAUAGGUGUCCCAAAGGAACUCACUAUGUGACUUAGAAAGUGAUUGAACCACCAACUUUCUCAAGACUUUGACACCCAACUCUCCCGGCUUGUCAAUAUGUGACUACAUCUCCAAGAU
rnacentral:lncRNA from 1 species